AAGAGUCGCUACAGAAAACCCCUGAGAUCGUAUUCAUUUCAAUCUGAUUUCGUAUCCCCAACCGAAUUGCCGUCGGGUCGGCCAGAGCUGCAGGGAAGUCUAGUAGUCUACCAAUCCAACGGCGUCGUAACUCUCCUCAGUCUCGUGCUCGCUUCCCUCACAAGUUGGAGCGAAUUUGAAAACCCUGGUUUAAUCAGGGCUUAUCAACACUUUCCUUUCUUUCUCUCCAAGACAAUGGCGGAAUCCGUAGUACCACGCCCAUGGUUUCUUGAUUUGGUACCUCUCUUGGUGGUUCUUCUAAUAGCGGCUCACGUCCUCGCUUUGGCUUACUGGAUUUACAGAUUAGCUACCGAUAAACAACCCCAGAGAAGAAAGGCACACUGAGGAUUUAGCAGUUAACCCAGGCUGUGUUUACUGGUCCAAUUUCUUGUGCUCUACUUGCGGAGUAUGGUGAGACCAUGUCAGGUUUGAACAUUAAGUACUUGUUCGUAAUGUUGAUUGGGAUUGAUUCUAUGUAGACAGGUUAUACAACAAUCAUAGAAGCAGCUUUUACUAUUGUGUAGCUUGUGUUUUUUUGGUACAUCACAUUGCUGCAUGUUCCUAAUCUCUGGAGUCGGACAUUAUUGAGUGCCUGGUUUCAUCCUUGAUGUUUGCACCAUCAAACAUUUGUACAACUAUUGACUUGAUUGUUUGACCAUACUUGAUUGCU